AAUUAUAUAUUUUUGGAGAUUAUUUGUUAUCAAUAGACUGAGGUUUAGACCAGUCACAUUUUCUUUGCAAAUCAGAGCCCGCGCUUCAAUCGAGCGGUCAAGUUCCCAGUGAUAAUUCAUCAUAAACUAAAAAUGUUUAAAAUUUCAAUAUUUUUUUUAAUCGGAUUAUUAUUCAUUUUUGAAUAUUCAUCUGCUAUCUUACCACCGUGUGCACGUGGCGGUGAACAGUGCGAUUUGAUAGGAUGUUGUGCUGGUCUGCGUUGCGACGAAAUAAUAUUAAAAUGUAUGACCAAUUUAACUUCUCACUGGAAAUAAUUAUUUAUAAAAAUAAGUGAUGAUAAUAAUGUUCUACAAUAAGAAUAAUGAAUACGCAGUUCUUUAGUUUGAGUGAAAUUGUCCCAAUAAAUAAAAAAU